CAUAACAGACUGGGUGGAAGUUAAGUGGAAGGGAGGCGUUAUGGGCCACCCACUUCAAAAGGAUGGAUGUAGCUGUGGUGUCGUUGUUGUGAAGAUGGCAAAGGCAGUCAUGGAGUCCUUCCCUCUGAUCCCGAAUGUGAAUUUCGAGUGUUCGAAGAAAUACAUGAAACAGGAGAGGAUAGAACUGGCUCUCGAAAUCCUUGAGGCAUCAGUCCUUGAUGAGCACACUUAUUGUGCUAUGUGUGCU